UUCACGCAGAAUUUAAAUUGAAAAUUCGUAUGAAAAUUUCAUACAUAUGGCAAGAAAAAACACCAUAUGAGAUUAUGUUCUUUUCUUUGUGUCUGUUUUGUUUUGCUCUUCUUUCGUUAUUCGUCGUAUUUUUGCAUAUGACAAAAAUAGAUAACGGUACAUUUGAGUAAAUGCUUUAUGAAUGAUUGAAACCUCGUAUAAGCGUCGCGCCAGUUGCCUUUAUUUAGCUGUCGGUCUCUUAUUCAGUGCGUGGCGGCUGGAGUGAAAGUGUCUUUUGUGUCUUUUAAAAAAAGUGGUGCUGAAGUUUUAAAAAAUUCAAAACAAUAGGAAAACAAUUUAAUAACAUUUGAAAAAUCUAAGAAUAAGAGAACAGAAAUCAAUAACAUUGAAAACCCCUUGAGUGAAAUGUGUAAGAUUCCAAAACAGACCGUGAUUAUAGGAAGAUUAUUUCAAACGAAAUGAUUGCCUUGUGGUCGAAACGAAACUUUCCGAGCAUAACACGUAUAGCUGCACAACGGAAGAUAACAAAAGUCUUAAAUGAUUAUUCAACAUUUUUAAAAUUCCCGGAUGGCAGAAAUGUUACAAUGGCGUUAUGUGAUAUAACUGAUUUAAAAGGUGUCUGGCUAGGAACUGAGGACAAAAAGUUGUAUGAACUCCAAACAACUACAAAUGAAGAUGUUGGGUACACGACAGCUAAAGCAGUUUGUGUGCAUCCCUCCAAAGCUGCCCUUUUAAGAAAAAAUUUUCAAAGCACCUCGUGUUUAAAUAAAGUGGCGCUCAACACUUCAACAUCAUCAGCUGAAUCUGUCGAGCAAUUCGAAACAGCACAUAAGUGUUUUCUUCAACAUUGGGUAAAAGAAGAUUCUGCCAUUCUGAAUUUAAAAAGAUCUAAUAUUUGCGCUGAAAGAGCCAUCAAAGUUAUUCAGGAAAUUUUCCCUUUUUGUAAAUCUGAAUAUAGUUUAAAUCUUAAGUUUAUCUCAAAUAAUAUCAAAAUGAAUUAAAUAAUGAACUAAAACGUAUAUUUACUAUAAAAAUGUAUUUGUCUUGUACUUAAAUUAAUCUUAUUGCUUCUAAAUCAAAAUUUGUCUUCUUCUUCUUCGCAUAUAAUGAAUUUUUUCAAUUUAAAUUCUGCGUGAAGUUUUUGAAAUAAAACGAAAAACUAAAAACGCAGAUAUCAUUUUUU